GACGGAGGGUGCUAGCGUUGUUCGGAAUCACUGGGCGUAAAGGGCGCGUAGGCGGCGCCGCAAGUCGGCCGUGAAAGCCCGGGGCUCAACCCCGGAGGUGCGACCGCGACUGCGGUGCUGGAGGCCGGAAGAGGAGGGUGGAAUACCCAGUGUAGAGGUGAAAUUCGUAGAUAUUGGGUGGAACACCGGUGGCGAAAGCGGCUCUCUGGUCCGGUCCUGACGCUGAGGCGCGAAAGCGUGGGGAGCAAACAGG
rnacentral:rRNA from 1 species